UAGAGUUAGAGUCUGUUUUUAUAAUUAUUACCUUGGCUAGACCCGUUGAUUGUUCGUACUUCAGAGGCGAACCAGAGUUAAAUUGUUUGCCAAGUUUCACGUGGAAUAGCAAGCAGGUUAUGAUUUGAGCGAGUCAGCUGGUCUCCGAUUCUUUAUUUCCUCGGAGGUCUUACCUUAUUUUAUUAAAGUUAUUGAACUGGUUUUACUCUUAGACCGCAAUAGUAAUUAGAAGUCUUACUUGUCUGCUACUUGUUAUCAAGUUUAAUUCAAUUGAUAUAUGUAUAUUGUUUAGCAUUCUUAUAUUAACUUGGGUUGAUAAGUAUUUAUGCC